rnacentral:rRNA from 1 species
AUGAGAUCUCUCUGCUACGUGACUUUCCUGCUCAUCUUGUCCAUCAGCAACGUGCAACUCUCUGCAUCCGUACGCCUCUUGGCCGAAAGUCCACAUGGCCAGCCAGGUGCACCGGCGCCGCUCCCUCCCGGCGGCCUGUCGGGAAACAUCCCGGCUAAUGUCCCGGCGAGCAUGUCAGACAACAUUCCGGGGAACCUCCCUGCUAGCCUGCCAGAGAACAUGCCGAUCCCCAAGAUGCCCGACUUAUCGGGGCUGACGAACCUCUCGUUCCCGCCGAUGCGUUCGGCGUCCCUGCCGAAGAUGCCGCAAAACCUCUCGCUCUUCGGGUUCGACGUGAAGAUCCCAAAGUUCAUCAACAAGAUGGUAAAGGAGAACACAGAUUCCUGA